rnacentral:rRNA from 1 species
GACGAACGCUGGCGGCAUGCCUAAUACAUGCAAGUCGAACGGACUUUCCUGAUUGCUGUGGCGGACGAGUGUGUGCGGCGUACGAGUGUGUCACAGGUAGGCAAACUACCGCUGAAAACGGCUUCUCAUUCCGCGAAGACUGCUGAGAACGGGGAGGAGUCCGUCCGAGGAGGGGGGGGCGUCUGAGGAGCUACAAGGUGAGGCAAUAGCUUACCCCGGCGGUGGACUGGAGAGGGUGCGAGGGGAUGAUCGGCCAAACUGGGACUGAGGGACGGCCCAGGCACCUACGGGAGGCAGCAGUGAGUAAGACGCCGCAAUGGGCGAAAGCCUGACGGAGCAAUGCCGCGGGGAAGUAGAGGGCCCACGGGUCAUGAACUUCUUUUCCAGGAGAAGAAGCAAUGACGGUAUCUGGGGAAUAAGCAUCGGCUAACUCUGUG